rnacentral:rRNA from 1 species
AGUCAUAUGCUUGUCUCAAAGAUUAAGCCAUGCAUGUCUAAGUAUAAACUGCUUUAUACUGUGAAACUGCGAAUGGCUCAUUAAAUCAGUUAUAGUUUAUUUGAUGGUACCUUACUACUCGGAUAACCGUAGUAAUUCUAGAGCUAAUACGUGCGUAAAUCCCGACUUCUGGAAGGGACGUAUUUAUUAGAUAAAAGGCCGACCGGGCUUGCCCGACUCGCGGUGAAUCAUGAUAACUUCACGAAUCGCAUGGCCUCGUGCCGGCGAUGUUUCAUUCAAAUUUCUGCCCUAUCAACUUUCAACCGUAAGGUAGUGGCCUACGGUGGUGGUAACGGGUGAC